GCUGGCAUGGUGGAGCAUGCCUGUAAUUCCAGCAAUUUGGGAGGCUGAGGCAGGAGGAUUGCAAGUUUGAGGCUAGCCUCAGCAGCUUAGUGAAAGGCCCUAAGCAACUUAGCAAGACCCUAUCUCAA
rnacentral:sRNA from 1 species